UGGGGAAUUUUGGACAAUGGGCGAAAGCCUGAUCCAGCAAUGCCGCGUGUGUGAAGAAGGCCUUCGGGUUGUAAAGCACUUUUGUCCGGAAAGAAAUCCUUGGCUCUAAUACAGUCGGGGGAUGACGGUACCGGAAGAAUAAGCACCGGCUAACUACGUGCCAGCAGCCGCGGUAAUACGUAGGGUGCAAGCGUUAAUCGGAAUUACUGGGCGUAAAGCGUGCGCAGGCGGUUUGCUAAGACCGAUGUGAAAUCCCCGGGCUCAACCUGGGAGCUGCAUUGGUGACUGGCAGGCUAGAGUAUGGCAGAGGGGGGUAGAAUUCCACGUGUAGCAGUGAAAUGCGUAGAGAUGUGGAGGAAUACCGAUGGCGAAGGCAGCCCCCUGGGCCAAUACUGACGCUCAUGCACGAAAGCGUGGGGAGCAAACAGGAUUAGAUACCCUGGUAGUCCACGCCCUAAAACGAUGUCAACUAGUUGUUGGGGAUUCAUUUCCUUAGUAACGUAGCUAACGCGUGAAGUUGACCGCCUGGGGAGUACGGUCGCAAGAUUAAAACUUAAAUGAAUUGACGGGGUCAUAGCUGUUUCCU
rnacentral:rRNA from 1 species